GCUCCCGUAGCUCAGCUGGAUAGAGCAACGGCCUUCUAAGCCGUAGGUCAUGGGUUCGAAUCCCGUCGGGAGUA
rnacentral:tRNA from 1 species